AAAGAGCUGCUGAAUAAAGCCGUGUCUCAUCUACCUGCUGUCUCCCAAGUGUUCUUCCAGCUCCCUGCCCCUCAUCAACCCACUCUCCUCAGACCUCAGCUGGGGCUUGAACCUGAUAAUUGGUGUAGUCAUCAGGAUGAGCUGUACCCUUCAUCACGAAUUUGAUGGACUGCUUGACAAUGGAACUGGAAGAGUACCACUUUGUGGUGGACUUAGCUAAUGCAGUCUUCUCCAUUGACAUUGCUCCAGAGAGCCAGGAGAAGUUUGUCUUCACGUGGGAAGGAUGACAAUGGACUUUCACCAUGCUGCCACAGGGCUGUGUGCAUAGCCCCACCAUUUGUCCUGGUCUUGUUGCCAUGGAUUUAGCUGCCUGGAAAUGCCCAAAAGGGGUCUGCCUGUUUCAUUACAUUGAUGAUAUGUUAACCUCUGAUUCUCUCACAGAUUUAGAAGUGGUGGUGCCCCUCUUGUGACAGCAUUUGGCAGUGUGCAGUUGGGCCAUCAAUAAAUCCAAGGUCCAAGGGCCGGAAUUGUCUGCCAAAUUCUUGGGAGUUAUUUGCUCAGCUUGGGGGAAGACCUAACUUGAAGAAUGAGGGCUUACCUGUGAAAAUUGAUUGUAUAUUGUCUUUUGGCAGUGAGGAG
rnacentral:lncRNA from 10 species